GGGUCAGUAGGUUGGUCGUGCCACCGGUACGUACUGGUCUCACUGAUUCCUCCUUCCUGAAGAACCGUAAUGCCAUUAAUUUGGUGUUGCGGGGAAACAGGACUGUUACUUUGAAAAGAUUAGAGCGUUUAAAGCAAGCUAACGCUUGAAUACAUUAGCAUGGAAUAAUGAAAUAGGACGAUCGAUCCUAUUUUGUUGGUUUCUAGGAUUGACGUA
rnacentral:rRNA from 1 species